rnacentral:rRNA from 1 species
GCCAGCGGCAAUAGUACGUUGAAUGGAUUAAUUCCCUAUGGAUCACUGAAGUUAAGCAGCGAUGCGCGUGGUUACUAUCCGGAUGAGUGACUAUCUAGGUAAUUGCGUUCUGCUGGCU